rnacentral:rRNA from 1 species
UACGAAGGGGGCUAGCGUUGUUCGGGAUCACUGGGCGUAAAGCGCACGCAGGCGGAUCGAUAAGUCGGGGGUGAAAGCCCGGGGCUCAACCUCGGAAUUGCCUUGGAUACUGUCGGUCUCGAGUCCGGGAGAGGUGAGUGGAAUUCCUAGUGUAGAGGUGAAAUUCGUAGAUAUUAGGAAGACACCAGUGGCGAAGGCGGCUCACUGGCCCGGUACUGACGCUCAGGUGCGAAAGCGUGGGGAGCGAAUCGG